ACAUUCGAUUAGGUAGUUGGAAGGGUAGAAGCCUCCCAAGCCAACGAUCGAUAGUCAAGUUUGAUAGAACAGAUGACCACAUUGGGAGUGAAAUAUCCCAAGUAGCAUUAAGCUACCAGCAGUCAAGAAUAUUAGUCAAUGCUCGCAAGAGUGAACUAGCUAACUGAAAUCAAUGGUGUGUCACCAUUGAUAAGGUAAAGGAAAAGAAAUGAUAUUACUUUACUAUUAGUGUCGUCCAAGUACUCGUGCCAGAAGACUCGGUAAGGCGAGAGACGCAAACGUUAGUCGUCCUAAUCAGGCGUAAAGGGUUUGUAGGCGGCUUUAAGAAUUUGAUUCUUCUAAAUUACAGAUUUCAAAGUCUGGUGAGAAGAAAAAAUCAAUUAAAGCUAGAAUCAAAAAGAGGUCAAAUGAAAUAAUACUUGGUGUAAGAUUGGUAUCUUUAAAUACUAAGCGGAAUACUAACGGCGAAGGCUUUUUUCCAAUAAUGAUUGACGCUGAGAAACUAAGGUGAGGGCAUAAAAAAGGAUUAGAGACCCUAGUAUUCCUCACUGUCAACGAUGAAUGGUAGUUACUAGACAUAACUUAUUUUUAAAUGAAAUCAUUUAAAAUAAAUAGAUUCUAGAGGCGAUGUUAACACGAAAACCAUUCCGCCUUGUGAGUACGACUGCAAAGUUGAAAACAAAAAAAUUAGUCGGUUUCGGAGCAAACGGAGUGAAGCAUGUUAUUUAAUACGAUACCCCGCGUAAAAUCUUACCAGUCCUUGCAUAAAACUUUAAUUAUAAAAGGAUGUUAACUAGUAAAUUAAAAUUAUAGUUUGAUUAUUAUAGUUUUAAUAGUCUUAUUU
rnacentral:rRNA from 1 species